UCUGUGUCUCUCUCGCUGUCAAUCUUGUGCUUCACGAAGUAUCCCUUUAUCCCACAGCAGACUUCAAACUCUCUUCUAAAGCUCUCAGAAGCUUUUCACCGCUGCCAAUGGCUGCCGGCCCCGGCAAUUCCUCCGACGUACUGGAAACCCCAUUCCUCGACGCCGAAAGACCCAACAUCCUCCAGAGGAUCUCCGAGGAAGGCGGCUACGCCUACGUCAGCAUGGCGGCCCGCGCCGCCUCCGGCGACUUCCGGGCGGCGGAGGCGUCGCGCGAGAUGGCGUGGGAGCAGCUCCACUCCGGCCCUUGGCACUCUGUGCUCCCCAUCUGGAGGGACGCGUACUCGAUGGCUUGCCUCCACGUGGCCAACUUCCAUUACACCCACGGUGACUUUAGGGAGGCCAUUAGGGUUCUUGACAUGGGGUUGAUCAUGGGAGGGAUGGUUCUGCGUAAGGAUUUGGAUUCGGCGGUCCAAAAGGUGUCGGGGAAGGCGACUGCUCUCGACGAGGCCGCUGAGGGUUCUGCAAAAGUUGAAUGUCGAUUCAUUGACGAAGAAAUUGAUGAAGCGGAGGUGCUACGGGUUUUACCCAUGAAGUCAUUGUCUUGUAAGAUUGUUGGGAAAAUAUCUGCUCUUUCUUUGGAGGGAUUCCUGCGUGAUUAUUUCCUGUCAGGUUCUCCAGUUAUAAUCAGUGAUUGUAUGGAACAUUGGCCGGCUAGGACAAAGUGGAAUGACAUGGAUUAUCUAAAAAGGGUUGCUGGCUUACGCACAGUUCCAGUUGAGGUUGGGAGAAACUAUUUAUGCCCAGAGUGGAAGCAAGAGCUAAUAACAUUUUCCCAGUUUCUUGAGAGGAUCAAGUCAAAUAACUGCACUGCGGUGGUCCCUACAUAUUUAGCUCAGCAUCAAUUGUUUGAUCAGAUAGAAGAUCUAAGAAAGGACAUCGUUAUUCCUGACUAUUGUUUUGUCGGUGGCGGGGAGCUCAGGUCACUUAAUGCUUGGUUCGGUCCAGUUGGGACCGUGACACCAUUGCACCAUGAUCCACACCAUAAUAUACUUGCUCAGGUUGUUGGCAAAAAGUACAUUAGGCUUUACCCUGCUUCAUUGUCAGAGGAACUUUACCCACACGCUGAAUCCAUGCUUAGCAAUUCCAGUCAGGUUAAUUUGGACAAGAUAGAUGAGAAAGAGUUCCCGGAGGUGCAGGAUCUGGAAUUUCUGGAUUGCAUUCUACAGGAGGGCGAAAUGCUUUAUAUCCCUCCAAAAUGGUGGCACUACGUUCGAUCCCUCACCACAAGUUUUUCUGUUAGCUUUUGGUGGAGUGACAACAAUUCACUGAUUUCCUGACGGUCUCUCGUUUCAUUUUGCUGCUUCUAUGCUCUCUCAUGUACCAUGCACAUUGCUAAACAUUUUAUAUCUUAUCAUUCUAUACGAACAGGAAAUGAACAGAAAUUGAAGGAGGCAUGCUAUGUGCAGAUUUUUUUUUUCGUAACUCGAAACACCAACUUUGUUUUUAUGGGUGUUCGGAAAAAAAAUAAAAUAAAAUGUGAACCUAAGACAAUGUUCCGAAAAAUUUUAUCCAGCUGUAAAACUAAUCUGUUUUUUGGUGCAAGUUAUGGGACAAUAAGUUGAUUGGACUAGUGAAUGGAAUGACAGUUGAUCAAAUCGACCGUUCCUCCAAAAGCACCAGAUAUGGAAACUUUCUUGACCCAAUGAUGAAAUCCUCCUGUUAGCAGUUAGCACUUUUUUUUUCUUUUUUUUUUUUUUGUCCGUUUUUUCUUUUUCACUUCUUGCAUUUAUUAUUGUGGCUAAUAGUGUUGACUUUCUUCUCUCUGUGCUGCUUAAGUUAUAAUGUCAAUCGUGUAAGGUUUAUUAUAUUUUGUU